rfam:Ovis aries breed Texel chromosome 13, whole genome shotgun sequence.
UGGUCUAAUGGUUGAGACUCUGUGCUUCCAAUGCAGGGGGCUUGGGUUCUAAUCCCUA